CGACUUUAGAAAUCGUGAGGGUUCAAGUCCCUCUAUCCCCAAAUCCCCUACAAAGUAUU
rnacentral:tRNA from 1 species